CGUUACGCCUUUUUCUUUCUUCAACUGGCUGAGAAUGAAAACUUCCCCCAUAUAAAUAGACUCCCGCCCCGCCCUGGACACAAGGGCCAGAGAGCUCUGGGAUUUCAUCAAAAAUAUCUUUGAUCCGAAGAUGAAGGAAGGUCCUAGUUUUUGAACAACAUGAGGUGUCUCUAGGGAAGUACCGGCAGGAUAUGAGCUCUGAUGGUAAUGCAAGUGGACUGUCCCACCCCCUCUGCUCUUCCCUGCAGUCGAUGCUGACGAGGCCCUGGAGACGUGGACAGAAGAGCACAGAUGUAUGCAGAUACAGAAGAUCCACUGAUCCACAGCGCUGGAGAUAAACAGCAUGCUUGUGAAACUGGUUUGUCUUACUGUAGAGUGUAAUGGUAUAAGACACAUUUGACUUUUAGUGCUCGAGGACUCCCUGUUCUGAAGGCCUUGUGGAGAUUUUUUGAAAGAACCUUAUUAGGUUUUGCAUCUUUUCAAUCAAUAACGAGACAUUAUUACAUAUCAAAGGUCAUUAGUGUGCCAUGAGCCGUUCCCUAAUCUAAGGAAGGAAGUUAUUUGUAAUACGCUGCCAACGUGACAUCUGCUGUACACACAAUAUGGUGGCUAUUUGUUUUUUAUACUUAUAGCAAGAUUAUCUUUGUUAAUCAUUACCAGCUAUAUUUGUUGGUCCACCAGCAUAAAGCACAUUAACCAUUUCAUACAAAUUAUUGAUUUAAACCUAGGUUAAACCUGUAAAAGUGAAACAGAAAUGUGCUGGUCUUUCAUUUGUAUUCAGUUAAUGUCUUGUGCUGUAUAAAUACAAGGCUAGGACAUGACUGGAAUGCAUUUGAAAGCAUUUGUUGGAAAUGCCAUGUCUGCUAAGAUGAAGGAAGAAAGGCCUCGCCCAGGUUUACCUCACAAAGAACUGGAGCUCCCUCUAGUGUUAAAACAAUCUUAUUCAUUUGCAGUGGGACUUAAAGGGAUAGUUCACCCAAAACUGAAUAUUCUAUCAUGGUUUACUCACCCUCAUGUUGUUCCAAACCUCUAUGAGCUGCUUUCUUAUUUUGAACAUCAAAUAAGAUAUUCUGAAGAUUGCUGGUAAUCAAACAGACUUCCAUAGUAUUUUUUUUUCCUACUAUGGAAGUCAAAAGCAACCACCAACUGUUUGAUAACAGCAAUCUUCAAAAAUAUCUUCUGGAAUGACACAUGAGGGUGAGGGAAUGAUGACAAAAUUGUCAUUUUUGGGUGAACUAUCCCUUUAACCCUUCUGGCCAAAAGCUUGGAACAAUUACGAUUAAAAUAAAAUUGUUA